CCCUUAGAUGUUCUGGGCUGCACGCGCGCUACACUGAUGCGUUCAACGAGUUUAUGACCUUGCCCGAUAGGGUUGGGUAAUCUUUUUAAAUCGCAUCGUGAUGGGGAUAGAUUAUUGCAAUUAUUAAUCUUCAACGAGGAAUUCCUAGUAAGCGCGAGUCAUCAGCUCGUGCUGAUUACGUCCCUGCCCUUUGUACACACCGCCCGUCGCUCCUACCGAUUGAGUGGUCCGGUGAAGCGUUCGGACCGUGGCCUUUGGACGGUUCGCCGUCUGUUGGCUGCGGGAAGUUCGUUAAACCUUAUCAUUUAGAGGAAGGAGAAGUCGUAACA
rnacentral:rRNA from 1 species